rnacentral:lncRNA from 1 species
GAAGUCAUCAUGCAAUGUAUGCUAAUACCCUUCUGAAUCAGAUGACAAAUACGGUCUUGUAACAAUUUUUUUGAGCAAUUAAGUCCACUAUCCUUCUUCUAACCUGUACUAGAGAUUAGAUAGGCUAGUGAAAUACUGUGUGCUUAACUUUCUCUUCAAAAAUCACUGGAUGGUUAACUUUUGGCUUGCAUUUUCCUAAACAUCUUUUAACCAUAUGCUUUUUGUAAUAACUGAUGUAGUCUAUCUGGCACUAGGUCACUUUCUGUGUGUUGUUUUUUGUUUUUAAAAAAGGGAGAUCUGAAGUGUAUCAGUGUUUUAUCUGGGGAAAAUUUCUGUGAAUUUGUGUCGAAAAAGUUCUUAUGUUUUCCAUUUUCUUCUUUCUUAAUUCAUACUGAUUGUAACAAGGUCUUAUUUAUGUGUGUAGCUUCAAGGCUGUUAAACCAGGAUAAUACAAAACUUAAAACUGAUAACAAGGUGACGGUGAAGUGCAGAAGGAGCAGUUUUCCAAGGUAUCAUUCUUCCUUCAAAUAUGUAUAAAUAGCUAAGCUUGAUCAAAAGUAAACGUCCAGUUAUUUUCACCAUGCACCUAAUAGUUGCUGGCUCACAGUGUUUGUAUAGUUCAUUAGUUUUAAACCAUAGGCAUUAUUCAAUUCAUUAAUCAAAGUUGACAAAUAUACAAUGAGCCUAGUGCUUCUUGAAUCUGGAGAUAGUUUUAAUAUUUAUGUUCCGGCUGUAGGUUUCUGGAUCUCUUUCACGCUUAUAUGUAAGCAGGCGCAGUACACCAAUUUCAUCGGUGUUAUAAAGCUCUACGAGAAGAGAGGGUCGGGCUUAUGCCCUGCCCCAUAUAUGAUAAUCUUCAUAGUGUAAGUAGAUGUAACUUUGCCAUCAAUGAACAUGAAGUUGCAAUCUUCAGUUGACUUUCAUUUCUCAUAGUAUGUUCUUGUAAGUUCAAUAAGCAUAUGACAUUCUAUAUAACAUCAAUUCCACACUGGAUUCAGGGGAAGUGAAGUAACAAAAAAGAUCAUUGGACAAUUUUGGUACUCCAUUGUCAUGUUAUUUUAUACUAUGUUACCCUUUGAAUAAUGAGUGUUUGGGUUACACUUUUAUUAUUUGAGUUGGGAUAUAUUGGUAAAGUUAUAGUAAAAUGUGAAAUGUCAAAGUGUAAAGGUAAACCUAUGGAGAAAGAAAAAGAAGAUAGCCGAUUAUGUUUGUGGUGG